rnacentral:rRNA from 1 species
UACGUAGGGUGCAAGCGUUGUCCGGAAUUAUUGGGCGUAAAGAGCUCGUAGGCGGUCUGUCGCGUCGGCUGUGAAAACUCGGGGCUCAACUCCGAGCUUGCAGUCGAUACGGGCAGGCUAGAGUUCGGCAGGGGAGACUGGAAUUCCUGGUGUAGCGGUGAAAUGCGCAGAUAUCAGGAGGAACACCGGUGGCGAAGGCGGGUCUCUGGGCCGAUACUGACGCCGAGGAGCGAAAGCGUGGGGAGCGAACAGG